GAUGAACGCUGGCGGCGUGCCUAAUACAUGCAAGUCGAGCGAACAGACGAGGAGCUUGCUCCUCUGAUGUUAGCGGCGGACGGGUGAGUAACACGUGGAUAACCUACCUAUAAGACUGGGAUAACUUCGGGAAACCGGAGCUAAUACCGGAUAACAUGUUGAACCGCAUGGUUCAACAGUGAAAGACGGUCUUGCUGUCACUUAUAGAUGGAUCCGCGCCGCAUUAGCUAGUUGGUAAGGUAACGGCUUACCAAGGCAACGAUGCGUAGCCGACCUGAGAGGGUGAUCGGCCACCCUGGCACUGAGACACGGUCCAGACUCCUACGGGAGGCAGCAGUAGGGAAUCUUCCGCAAUGGGCGAAAGCCUGACGGAGCAACGCCGCGUGAGUGAAGAAGGUCUUCGGAUCGUAAAACUCUGUUAUUAGGGAAGAACAAAUGUGUAAGUAACUAUGCACGUCUUGACGGUACCUAAUCAGAAAGCCACGGCUAACUACGUG
rnacentral:rRNA from 1 species